rnacentral:rRNA from 1 species
UACGUAGGGCGCAAGCGUUGUCCGGAAUUAUUGGGCGUAAAGAGCUCGUAGGCGGUUUGUCACGUCGGCUGUGAAACCCUGGGGCUCAACCCCGGGCCUGCAGCCGAUACGGGCUGACUAGAAUUCGGUAGGGGAGUCUGGAAUUCCUGGUGUAGCGGUGAAAUGCGCAGAUAUCAGGAGGAACACCGGUGGCGAAGGCGGGACUCUGGGCCGAUAUUGACGCUGAGGAGCGAAAGCGUGGGGAGCGAACAGG